rnacentral:rRNA from 1 species
GCGCACGCUGGCGGCAGGCUUAACACAUGCCAGUCGAGCGGGCAUCUUCGGAUGUCAGCGGCAGACGGGUGAGUAACACGUGGGAACGUACCCUUCGGUUCGGAACAACUCUGGGAAACUGGAGCUAAUACCGGAUACGCCCUUAUGGGGAAAGGUUUACUGCCGAAGGAUCGGCCCGCGUCUGAUUAGCUAGUUGGUGGGGUAACGGCCUACCAAGGCGACGAUCAGUAGCUGGUCUGAGAGGAUGAUCAGCCACACUGGGACUGAGACACGGCCCAGACUCCUACGGGAAGCAGCAGUGGGGAAUAUUGGACAAUGGGCGCAAGCCUGAUCCAGCCAUGCCGCGUGAGUGAUGAAGGCCUUAGGGUUGUAAAGCUCUUUUGUCCGGGACGAUAAUGACGGUACCGGAAGAAUAAGCCCCGGCUAACUUCGUG